AUUGAACGCUGGCGGCAGGCCUAACACAUGCAAGUCGAACGAGUGGCGGACGGGUGAGUAAUGUCUGGGAAACUGCCUGAUGGAGGGGGAUAACUACUGGAAACGGUAGCUAAUACCGCAUAACAUCAGAUGUGCCCAGAUGGGAUUAGCUAGUUGGUGGGGUAACGGCUCACCAAGGCGACGAUGCCUAGCUGGUCUGAGAGGCUGAUCGGCCACAUUGGAACUGAGACACGGUCCAGACUCCUACGGGAGGCAGCAGUGGGGAAUCUUGCACAAUGGACGCAAGCCUGAUGCAGCAAUGCCGCGUGAGUGAAGAAGGCCUUCGGGUUGUAAAGUACUUUCAUCGGGGAAGCGUUACCCACAGAGAAAGCCCCGGCUAACUACGUGCCAGCAGCCGCGGUAAUUC
rnacentral:rRNA from 1 species